rnacentral:rRNA from 1 species
GUGUCAGCAGCCGCGGUAAUACGGAGGGUGCAAGCGUUGUUCGGAAUUACUGGGCGUAAAGAGCGUGUAGGCGGUAUAGUAAGUCAGAUGUGAAAGCCCUGGGCUUAACCCAGGAAGUGCAUUUGAUACUGCUAUUCUUGAGUAUGGGAGAGGUGAGUGGAAUUCCCAGUGUAGAGGUGAAAUUCGUAGAUAUUGGGAGGAACAUCCGUGGCGAAGGCGACUCACUGGACCAAUACUGACGCUGAGACGCGAAAGCGUGGGGAGCAAACAGGAUUAGAAACCCGCGUAGUCC